GGUUGAUGAACCAUUAUCUUAGGACUUGGGUUAAAAUCCCCACUCCUAUCUUGUUUUUUCUCCAAUUGUUUUGUCAUGCUUAUGACUUCACUCUCCUUUGCCUAGGCCAGUGAUGGUGAACCUUUUAGAGACUCAGUGCUCCAACUGCCACAUAUGAGCCCCCACCAUCUUACCCCAGAGAGGAGAGGGAGAAAUUCUCCCAUUGGGCUGCUGGGCAGAGGGGUCUAUACAACACAGUGAUAGUGAAGAAGUCAGCUUGUUAAAGGUGCCUCCAACUGAAUGAUGACAGGAACAGGGACAGGAUACAAGGAGCUUGUUUGUUUCAAGGUUUAAAAGCACGAACAAUAAUGAUAACAAACAUAAGCCCAUCAAGAGAAAAUUGAGAAAGAAGGAAGAAUGUUUGUGGCUGUGAGAUCUGUGACUGUCAUGGAAUAUAAUAUAUUUUAAUAUGAACUCUCAUUCUCCAGAUGGACACACAAAGUAAUAAGCUUAGAGAUGAACAUUUGACAACUUGAAACAGGAAAAAUGAAGAAACCACUUCCAAAUGCUUCUAAAGGGUAACAAUGCUAAAUUCUGGUCAAACCAUUGACCUCAUAAAGAAUAAGGAUUCAGCAGCCUGAGCUGAAAUGUCUUCAGAUUUCAGGUAGUGUCCUUAAUGAACCACAGAAGAAUAAUACAGCUCCAUCAUCUAAACUCAAGUGAGGUCAUAGUUCCACCCCUGCCAAUAAUCACACCCAGAUCCAGUUGAAGUACCAUCAGGGUCCAUGGAGCUUGAUAAUCAAGACAAAAUAGUCAGCAAUCUUACUUAGGGGCUAGAGACUACUUGCAUGUUCCAGAGUAGAAAACUUAGUAAUAAAUGGUUUCUUGUCACUGAAUUGACCCCCCACCCCCAAACACUAUGCUUCUAUAGGAGGAAAGAGUGUGGCUUAUGUGGCUUAUGAGUAUGAAAAAUAGAAGUAUAGAUUUAGAAUUAGAAGAAAUUUCAAAGGUCUUGAAAAAUGAAGUGAUUUAUCCAAGGUCACAAAAAUAGUAGGUGGCAGAGCCAAGAAUGAAAUCAAUAUCUUCAUCUACACCAAGUCUAGGCUUUCCAAU